CAAGUACUCUCUCCGUCCCAAAAUUCUUGUCUUAGAUUUGUCUAAAUACGGAUGUAUCACGUCACAUUUUAGAAUUAGAUACAUUCGUAUCUAGACAAAUUUAAGACAAGAAUUUUGGGACGGAGGGAGUACAAC
rfam:Triticum aestivum genome assembly, contig: Triticum_aestivum_CS42_TGACv1_scaffold_272786_3DS